rnacentral:rRNA from 2 species
AACUUUUAACAACGGAUCUCUUGGUUCUGGCAUCGAUGAAGAACGCAGC